GACGAACGCUGGCGGCGGGCUUAACACAUGCAAGCCGAACGGAAAGUCCGAUCUUUAUUGUGGUCCUAGAGUGGCGAACGGGUGCGUAACACGUAUGUAACCUGCCCUCGACAGGGGGAUAACUCCAGGAAACUGGGGUUAAUACCCCAUAACACCAUGUGCUGCAUGGUGGUGAUGGGUAAAUUUCGGCGGUUGGGGAUGGAGCCGGGGCUUGUCGAGCUGUUUGGCGGGGAGUGGCUUACCAAGGCCUUGACGGGUAGCCGGCCUGGGAGGGUGCGCGGCGACAUGGGGCCUGCGCUACGGCCCAGCAUCCGACGGGAGGCAGCGGUGGGGAAUAUUACACAAUGCGCGGCAGCCUGAUGCAGCAACGCAGCGUGCGGGAUGACGGCAUUCGGGUUGUAAACCGCUUUCGCAUGUGACGAAGCGUGAGUGACGGUAAUAGGUAAAGAAGCACCGGCUAACUACGUG
rnacentral:rRNA from 1 species